CACGUAGGGUGCGAGCGUUGUCCGGAAUUAUUGGGCGUAAAGAGCUCGUAGGCGGUGUGUCGCGUCGGCCGUGGAAACCUGUAGCUUAACUGUGGGCUUGCGGUCGAUACGGGCAUCACUGGAGUUCGGCAGGGGAGACUGGAAUUCCUGGUGUAGCGGUGGAAUGCGCAGAUAUCAGGAGGAACACCGGUGGCGAAGGCGGGUCUCUGGGCAGUAACUGACGCUGAGGAGCGAAAGCGUGGGGAGCGAACAGG
rnacentral:rRNA from 1 species